rnacentral:misc_RNA from 1 species
UCUCCGUAGGUGAACCUGCGGAGGGAUCAUUACAAGUGACCCCGGUCUUACCACCGGGAUGUUCAUAACCCUUUGUUGUCCGACUCUGUUGCCUCCGGGGCGACCCUGCCUUCGGGCGGGGGCUCCGGGUGGACACUUCAAACUCUUGCGUUACUUUGCAGUCUGAGUAAACUUAAUUAAUAAAUUAAAACUUUUAACAACGGAUCUCUUGGUUCUG